GCGGUCGUGGCGGAACUGGUAGACGCGCAAUGUUGAGGUCGUUGUCCUGCGAAGGGUGGAGGUUCAAGUCCUCUCGGCCGCACCA
rnacentral:tRNA from 1 species